rnacentral:rRNA from 1 species
CCUACGGGAGGCAGCAGUGAGGAAUCUUGGUCAAUGGGCGCGAGCCUGAACCAGCCAAGUCGCGUGAGGGAAGACGGUCCUAUGGAUUGUAAACCUCUUUUGUCGGGGAGCAAAAGACGCCACGCGUGGCGUUCCGAGAGUACCCGAAGAAAAAGCAUCGGCUAACUCCGGGCCAGCAGCCGCGGUAAUACGGAGGAUGCGAGCGUUAUCCGGAUUUAUUGGGUUAAAAGGGUGCGCAGGCGGAAGAUCAAGUCAGCGGUAAAAUUGAGAGGCUCAACCUCUUCGAGCCGUUGAAACUGGUUUGCUUGAGUGAGUGAGAAGUAUGCGGAAGGCGUGGUGUAGCGGUGAAAUGCAUAGAUAUCACGCAGAACUCCGAUUGCGAAGGCAGCAUACCGGCGCUCAACUGACGCUCAUGCACGAAAGUGUGGGUAUCGAACAGGAUUAGAUACCCCUGUAGUC